rnacentral:rRNA from 1 species
UCGCUCCUACCGGUUUCGAGUGGUCCGGUGAAUCUUUCGGAGAGUAGCGUACCUUGAGUGUGCUGCUCGAAGUCAGAUAAAUCGUAACACUUAGAGGAAGGAG